rnacentral:rRNA from 1 species
AGCGCGGGGCAACCUGGCGGCGAGCGGCGAACGGGUGAGUAACAUAUCGGAACGUAUCCAUAAGUGGGGGACAACCUAGCGAAAGUUAGGCUAAUACCGCAUACGCUCGAGAGAGGAAAGUGGGGGAUCGCAAGACUCACGCUUUAGGAGCGGCGAUAUCAGAUUAGCUAGAUGGUGAGGUAAAGGCUUACCAUGGCGACGAUCUGUAGCUGGUCUGAGAGGAUGAUCAGCCACACUGGGACUGAGACACGGCCCAGACUCCUACGGGAGGCAGCAGUGGGGAAUUUUGGACAAUGGGGGCAACCCUGAUCCAGCCAUUCCGCGUGAGUGAAGAAGGCCUUCGGGUUGUAAAGCUCUUUUGUUCGGGACGAAACGGUUAAGGCUAAUAACCUUGACUACUGACGGUACCGGAAGAAUAAGCACCGGCUAACUACGUGCCAGCAGCCGCGGUAAUACGUAGGGUGCGAGCGUUAAUCGGAAUUACUGGGCGUAAAGCGUGCGCAGGCGGUUUUAUAAGCCAGAUGUGAAAGCCCCGGGCUCAACCUGGGAAUGGCAUUUGGGACUGUAAGGCUGGAGUAUGGCAGAGGAGACUAGAAUUCCUGGUGUAGCAGUGAAAUGCGUAGAGAUCCU